rnacentral:rRNA from 1 species
GCCCCCUAGAGACAAGGGCCGACGUACAGCUUCAGGCGUCAUGCGGGCGCGGGAAUUCGAUUCGAGUUUUACGCAGUAAGAAGUUCGUAUGCGUUCUGUCGCGUCCGCUGUGAAAAAUCGGGGCUCAACUCCGAGUUUGCAGUUGAUACGGGCAGGCUAGAGUUCGGCAGGGGGAGACUGGAAUACCCGGUGUAGCGGUGAAAUGGGCCAAACAUCAGGAGGAACACCGGUGGGGAAGGCGGGUUUCUCUGGCCCAUACUUACGCUGAGGACGCGAAAACCUCGGGAGCCAACAGGGUUUGAUCUCCCUGUUAGUGCCACGCCGUGGACCUUCGGCGCUAGGUGUUGGAUCCCUUCCACGGGUUCCGUGCCCCAGCUAACGCAUUAAGCGCCCCGCCUGGGGAGUACGGCCGCAAGGCUAAAACUCAAAGGAAUUGACGGAAUCACUAGUGAAAAUCGGCCGCCUGCAGUCGACCACCGGGAGAGCCGGCACACCGACUUGGGGCCAACACGACCUUUAAC